AUGACCAACCUGUCAAGCACAUUCCAACCCCUGCUUGCAGUGGGUCAGCUCCUAUUUGAAGGCCAAAGAAAGUCGUGUGACCAAGACCAAGAGCCCCUUCACCACUGGACAAGCGGCCAGGAUUCUGUUAAUGAUCAAACUGGAGCAACGCGCAGCUGGUCUCGCUGGUCACCGGAAGCUCAGGAAGAAAUGAAGCCACUGGGAAAAACCACUGAUGCCGUGACCUUCUGCUCACAGGGCCCCAGUGCAGGCCAAAGACAGGCCUGUUUUGGGAAUUACUUGGCAACCUCCUGGGACACAAUAGGAGCUUAA
rnacentral:lncRNA from 1 species